rnacentral:pre_miRNA from 1 species
UGAGUAUUACUUCAGGUACUGGUAGAAUGAUAUGAGAACUAAGAUCACUUUCACUUUUGAAUUUAUUCAAAUUCAACCAAUGCUGAAAUUUAAAUUUUUAAAUUUCCUAUAUACAAUAAUUCAAAAUCUAUACUUAAAGAGAUUUUGACUUUUUUCAAAUUUAUUAGCAGUAAAACUCUGAUUCUUUACUUUUGUCUUUUAGAAAAAGUUAAGAUUUUUUAAUAUCAUCAUUGUGUCAGUGUCUUCAGUUCUCUACCCAGUGACUGAAUAAUACUUUGA